AACCUACCCUCAGGUCUGGGACAACUCCGGGAAACUGGAGCUAAUACCGGAUAAGACCACGGAGUCCUCGGACUCAGUGGAAAAAGAUGGCCUCUUCUUGAAAGCUAUUGCCUGUCGAUGAGCCCGCGUACCAUUAGCUUGUUGGUGAGGUAACGGCUCACCAAGGCGACGAUGGUUAGCUGGUCUGAGAGGAUGAUCAGCCACACUGGAACUGAGACACGGUCCAG
rnacentral:rRNA from 1 species